rnacentral:rRNA from 1 species
AUUGAACGCUGGCGGCAGGCCUAACACAUGCAAGUCGAACGGUAGCACAGAGAGCUUGCUCUCGGGUGACGAGUGGCGGACGGGUGAGUAAUGUCUGGGAAACUGCCUGAUGGAGAGGGAUAACUACUGGAAACGGUAGCUAAUACCGCAUAACGUCGCAAGACCAAAGAGGGGGACCUUCGGGCCUCUUGCCAUCAGAUGUGCCCAGAUGGGAUUAGCUAGUAGGUGGGGUAACGGCUCACCUAGGCGACGAUCCCUAGCUGGUCUGAGAGGAUGACCAGCCACACUGGAACUGAGACACGGUCCAGACUCCUACGGGAGGCAGCAGUGGGGAAUAUUGCACAAUGGGCGCAAGCCUGAUGCAGCCAUGCCGCGUGUAUGAAGAAGGCCUUCGGGUUGUAAAGUACUUUGGGAGGAAGGUGUUGUGGUUAAUAACCCAGC